GACUAAGUGAGGGUAGAGCUGGCAGGCCUGUCUGAAGUAGUGUUUGUACAUAGAUGAUCUGUUACCUUGGUGACUAAGUGAGGGUAGAGCUGGCAGGCCUGUCUGAUGUAGAGUGUGUACAUAGCUGAUCUGUUACCUUGGUGACUAAGUGAGGGUAGAGCUGGCAGGCCUGUCUGAUGUAGUGUGUGUACAUAGAUGAUCUGUUACCUUGGUGACUAAGUGAGGGUAGAGCUGGCAGGCCUGUCUGAUGUAGUGUGUGUACAUAGAUGAUCUGUUACCUUGGUGACUAAGUGAGAGUAGAGCUGGCAGGCCUGUCUGAUGUAGUGUGUGUACAUAGAUGAUCUGUUACCUUG